AACGAACGCUGGCGGCGUGCCUAACACAUGCAAGUCGAACGUGAAAGUCCUUCGGGAUGAGUAAAGUGGCGCACGGGUGAGUAACACGUAGGUGACCUGCCUUUUAGAGGGGAAUAACCAGAAGAAAUUUUGGCUAAUGCCGCAUACGAAGCACGGUUUUAAGACUGUGCUUGAAAGAAUGCCUCUGCAUAUGCAUUCACUAAAAGAUGGGCCUGCGGAACAUUAGCUAGUUGGUGGGGUAAAGGCCUACCAAGGCAACGAUGUUUAUCCGGUCUGAGAGGAUGAUCGGACACACUGGAACUGAGACACGGUCCAGACUCCUACGGGAGGCAGCAGUGGGGAAUAUUGCGCAAUGGGGGAAACCCUGACGCAGCAACGCCGCGUGAGUGAGGAAGGACUUCGGUCUGUAAAGCUCUGUUAAUGUGGAAAAAUGGUAGUUGGUCUAAUAGGCCGAUUAUUUGAUGGUACACAUAGAGGAAGCACCGGCUAACUUCGUGCCAGCCGCCGCAGUAA
rnacentral:rRNA from 1 species